rnacentral:rRNA from 1 species
ACAGCAGUCGCCGCGGUAAUACGAAGGGUGCAAGCGUUACUCGGAAUUACUGGGCGUAAAGCGUGCGUAGGUGGUGGUUUAAGUCCGUUGUGAAAGCCCUGGGCUCAACCUGGGAAUUGCAGUGGAUACUGGGUCACUAGAGUGUGGUAGAGGAUAGUGGAAUUUCCGGUGUAGCAGUGAAAUGCGUAGAGAUCGGAAGGAACAUCUGUGGCGAAGGCGACUAUCUGGGCCAACACUGACACUGAGGCACGAAAGCGUGGGGAGCAAACAGGAUUAGAUACCCGGGUAGUCCCUGUCUCUUAUAC